rnacentral:rRNA from 1 species
CAGCCGUAAACUAUGCGCGUUAGGUGUAUCGGUGACCACGAGUCACCGAGGUGCCGAAGGGAAACCGUGAAACGUGCCGCCUGGGAAGUACGGUCGCAAGGCUGAAACUUAAAGGAAUUGGCGGGGGGAGCACCACAAACGGGUGGAGCCUGCGGUUUAAUUGGACUCAACGCCGGGAAGCUCACCGGAUAAGACAGCGGAAUGAUUGCCGGGCUGAAGACUCUGCAUGACUAGCUGAGAGGUGGUGCAUGGCGUGUGACUGU